UCCCAUAUGGUCUAGCGGUUUCUGAUUCCUGGUUUUCACCUAGGUGGCCCGGGUUCAACUCCCGGUAUGGGAA